ACAAUUAUCAUACAAAGAAAGAAAGCGAUUACGCUUCGACAGCAUUGGUUGCAAUUUGCAUUGCAAUAUUUCUACGCUCGUACUUUCCAGUCUUCUUACAUCUGUCUCACCACAUCGUCGAUCCAUUUAGCCGAUCGAGGCUUCGAGCUGAGGGAGUCGCAGGAGAAAAAAGAGUGUUGGGACUUGACAGAACCUCAUUUGUUGGAUUAUAUUUUAUUAAUUUUUUGGCAGGUGGGGAAAAGGUUAUUUAUUGAUGUUUUUGGUCUUUUAGGGCUCUGAUCUAAUGAGUUGAUCCAUGAUUAAGAAAGAAUUUUUCCCAGGUUUUUAAUCUAAUAUUUGCUGCUCACAAUUUUAGAGCAUUUUCUUAAAACAGGUCGCCAACUUUUUGUUUAUACUUUGGUCGUGAGUGACAGACAAGUAAGCUGGCAAAGAUUUGCAAUGCUGAUAAGCAAUAAUAUUGGAUCUUAUGAUUCUCAAAUAAAAAGACCUUCAUAAUAUCACUUGCUACAUUUGGGGAAGGAAUUUGAUCAGAUGCUUGAGCAGCGUAUUGUGUACGAUCAACAUCUCUCUAUUGUCAUCGCUUGUGCUUUCGUCUUUUGUAUGAUGUUUCUCUGGGCAGGGGAGGGAACCAUGCUGUUUAGUGCAGUUUUUUUUCCGUUGUGCAUGUCUCCUAGUAGGUAGAGUAUGACCAUAUGUUCUCAAACACGCAUAGCUAUUUACUUGAGUUUGAUAUGGGUUUACUUCAUUAUCUGAAAUUUGCAGACAUUUUUUCUCGCUUGUGGUUGCAUCCUUCAUCUUUAAUGGCCAGCAGAGCUCAAAUCCAUACUAGCAACUCAGCACUCAUUGCCAUGAUUGCAGAUGAGGAUGUGGACAACUAUACUUCUGUUCUACCCCAUGGUACUCGAUUUAUCAUCUUUUUCUCAACUCAACUUUUUCUUCCAUUGUGAAUGAGUUUCAGUCGGGUGAAGUUUGACUGGAGUUUGUGGACACUGUAGUUGGAUUUCUCCUGGCUGGAGUGGGUAAUGUUGACUUACGAAGAAAGGCAAAUUACCUUAUCGUGGACUCAAGUUGCAAAUAUGAUAAGGUUUUUGGUUGAUAGCUACAACAGACCAGUUCCCGCUAUUUUAGAGAUUCCUUCUAAGGACCAUCCUUAUGACCCUACACAUGAUUAAGUUCUUUCACGAGUAAAGUACCUCUUUUCGACAGAAUCAGUAGCAUCUGGGAGGCGCUAGUUACAGAUGUUUCAGUUUUCUUGAUGCAUUCCUGCCAGACUACGUUUGAUCUGUUUCUCCAUUGCAUAUUAAGAAGAUUAUGCAGUAAGAGGUUGACCAUCCUUCUUCCUAUCUAUGUAAUCUAUUGUAAUAAUUUGGAUGCAUGUUCUAAUGAUUAUUCUAGUAAAUGAGUUUUACAAGUAAGACAAUUUUACAAAGAUACCCUUAUUUUACAACGUGUUGUGAAAUGUGAUGUGUGGGUAUUAUUACUCAAAACAAAUGACAAAUUCUAGAUAUUUGACAAA